rnacentral:rRNA from 1 species
GAUGAACGCUGGCGGCGUGCCUAAUACAUGCAAGUCGAGCGAACAGACGAGGAGCUUGCUCCUCUGACGUUAGCGGCGGACGGGUGAGUAACACGUGGAUAACCUACCUAUAAGACUGGGAUAACUUCGGGAAACCGGAGCUAAUACCGGAUAACAUGUUGAACCGCAUGGUUCAACAGUGAAAGACGGUCUUGCUGUCACUUAUAGAUGGAUCCGCGCCGCAUUAGCUAGUUGGUAAGGUAACGGCUUACCAAGGCAACGAUGCGUAGCCGACCCGAGAGGGUGAUCAGCCACACUGGAACUGAGACACGGUCCAGACUCCUACGGGAGGCAGCAGUAGGGAAUCUUCCGCAAUGGGCGAAAGCCUGACGGAGCAACGCCGCGUGAGUGAAGAAGGUCUUCGGAUCGUAAAACUCUGUUAUUAGGGAAGAACAAAUGUGUAAGUAACUAUGCACGUCUUGACGGUACCUAAUCAGAAAGCCACGGCUAACUACGUG